rnacentral:rRNA from 1 species
CGCGCAGGUGGUUGAUUAAGUCUGAUGUGAAAGCCCACGGCCUAACCGUGGAGGGUCAUUGGAAACUGGUCAACUUGAGUGCAAAAGAGGGAAGUGGAAUUCCAUGUGUAGCGGUGAAAUGCGUAGAGAUAUGGAGGAACACCAGUGGCGAAGGCGGCUUCCUGGUCUGUAACUGACGUUGAGGCUCGAAAGCGUGGGGAGCAAACA